GGGCACCCCCCACUCGAUGUUGCCUCAUUUGGUGGGAGACCUCAUCAAAAAAUUCCCUCACAAUUCCCAACUAUAUAUAUCACACAUAUAUCCAUGCAUAAUCACCAACAUCUAGUUUCAACAACUUUGACUCAUCAAAUCACCUCGCAUUGCUCAGGGUAUAUAUAUAUCGAUGGGUAAGAUGAUGAGGAUGGUUUUAUUGGUAAUGAUGGUGGUAGCUAUGAUGAGCACUUGCACGGUGGAAGGCAGGAGAAUUUCGGCGGCGGUGGAGGUGGCGGUGGCGGAGCAGGAGGAUGAUGGAGUGGAUAGUGGUUUGGAGGAUAACCACCAUGCUUACUCCAUACCUGACUUCAACAGGCAAGGUGGAAAACCUCCCACCAAAAACUGAUUAAUUGCUCUCUCUUUCUCUCCAAUUAUAUAUAUAUAUAUGUGUGUGUGUGUGUGUGUGUGUUACUGUGUGUGUAUAGAGACUAGAGUUUGUAUGUGUGGAAAUUAAUAAGCUGCUCCGGAGAUCCGUCUUCUCUUGUAUAAAUGCAUGUUCGCGUGAUGACGAGCCAUAUAUAUGUAUAGCUACGUUCCAACACCA